CAAAGAGAGGCAAGACCGCGAGGUGGAGCAAAUCUCAAAAAGCCGUCCCAGUUCGGAUCGCAGGCUGCAACCCGCCUGCGUGAAGUUGGAAUCGCUAGUAAUCGCGGAUCAGCAUGCCGCGGUGAAUACGUUCCCGGGCCUUGUACACACCGCCCGUCACACCAUGAGAGUCGGGAACACCCGAAGUCCGUAGCCUAACCGCAAGGGGGGCGCGGCCGAAGGUGGGUUCGAUAAUUGGGGUGAAGUCGUAACAAGGUAGC
rnacentral:rRNA from 1 species